AUACGGAAGGUCCGGGCGUUAUCCGGAUUUAUUGGGUUUAAAGGGAGCGCAGGCGGAGAUGCAAGCGUGACGUCAAAUUUCGGGGCUCAACCCCGUCUCGCGUCGCGAACUGCGUCCCUUGGUUGCGGGAAGGGGAGGCGGAACUCGUGGUGUAGCGGUGAAAUGCAUAGAUAUCACGAAGAACUCCGAUCGCGAAGGCAGCCUUCCGGCCCGUCAACGACGCUCAUGCUCGAAGGUGCGGGUAUCAAACAGGAUUAGAUGCCCUGGUAGUCCGCACAGUAAACGAUGGACACCCGCGGUUUGGCCUAUAUGGCUGAGCCGCCAAGCGAAAGCGUUAAGUGUCCCACCUGGGGAGUACGCCGGCAACGGUGAAACUCAAAGGAAUUGACGGGG
rnacentral:rRNA from 1 species